rnacentral:lncRNA from 1 species
GUUAAGAGAUUCAUUUUGUUCAUAGAUUGGUAAGAACAGAAUAAAAAAACUAUUUUAAAUGUUUUGAUGAAAGUGAAAUGAAAAGGAAGGAAUUGAUUUUCGAUUUUUUUACAGUAGGUAUGUAUGUAUAGGAGAAAACAAAGUAUACAUAGAGGAUUCACCAGGGGUCUUGGAAUAUAUCCCCUGCAGAUAAGGGGGUACUAUUUUAUUAUUUUGUGGGAAAUCUGCAAACCUUCUUCCUGCCAGCUCAUGUUCUGGUGUAAUGUUUUCAGUGCUGAAAUUCUUGCAAGCCUCUUGUGAAAAGCCCUAGAAGAAAGCAAGUUAUACUAAUCCUAAUGUAUUGUAUGUAUUCUGGCUUUCAAGAUACCAAAGCAUGGAGUUUGCCUUGGAAAGGGAUUGCAUUGUAACUAGCAUGCACCAAAAUUAUGCAUUCCUUUCUUGAUGUUCAGCCUUUAAUCUAACUUGAGAUGUUGCAGGAUGUAUAUUGCUGCUGCUUGCUUCAAUUGAGUAUGGGGGCAUCAUAUAAAUAAAUUACAAGUGGGGACCUAGUGUUUGUACCGAUUUUCCAUUCCCUACUAUCUGAAGGAAAUAAUAGAAACAUAUGUUCCCAAGCCUAUUGUUCAAUAUAUUCACAUAGUGCAGUUAAAAUGUUUGGUUAGAAAAUCAAUAUUGUUACACUAAGCAUCAAGUACAGUAAACUAGGAGAAUUGUAAGAAGCUGUGAACUCACUUAAAAUCAAUGUGUAUUUAAACCAAGGAGUAACAAAAUAGAUAAAACUACAACUCUAAACAGUAACCUAGGGAGAGUUAACCAGCAUCCCAGCUUCUGCCACUGCAGGGAUAAUCAAUGAAACACACAAACAAAUAAUAAGAGCAAUAUAAUAUUUGAGGUAGCAUUAAGAUUCAUCUGUAGUAAAUUUGAGAACAAGGACUACUAUGCAGUAUUGGCAACUAUAUUAAGAAUCCUCUGUGCAAUGAAUACAAUACCAAGCACAGAAAAAGAAAUGAGAACAUAGAUCUAGAACUCUACUUUGCAUAAGUAACAAAAUUUAAAUAAAAGGUGAAAAAAUACUACUGCAUAUUAACUUCUCUUGAAAUUUGGAAAUAUGGCAUAUAACAUAGUCCCAUGAAAAUAAAAAUUUUAAAUAAACACACCAUGGUUGGUAGCACAAAUAUCUAAAUUGCUUGAAUGUGAGACUAGGCAGCAAUCCAAUAGCAUGUAUAACAUAUUUAUUGUAGUAAUGUGCUGCUUACAAUAAAGUAUGGCAGGAAUGACAUCCACAUAAAACAAGAAGUUCCAGAGCUCAUCUAAAGUUCGUUGCUAGAAAAUGGUCAAUGACUAAUACAAGUUCUAUUAAAAAAAAUGGGGCAAGAUGAGUUAGCUUAAGGAUGCACACUUUGAAUCAAGUCAUCAAGGUUCAAAUAAUGAUUUGAACACCACUAAUAUUCUGUGAUAUUGGGAAAUUAUUCAACCUCCUUGUGCCCUAAUGUCUUCUUCUGCUAUAGAGUCUUUGAGUGAAUUAAAAAGUGUAAUCUAGUCCUGGUACCAAAACAGAGAUAUAGAUCAAUGGAACAGAACAGAGCCCUCAGAAAUAACACCGCAUAUCACCAGUUAGAAUGGCAAUCAUUAAAAAGUCUGGGAACAACAGGUACUGGAGAGGAUGUGGAGAAAUAGGAACACUUUUACACUGUUGGUGGGACUGUAAACUAGUUCAACCAUUGUGGAAGUCAGUGUGGCGAUUCCUCAGGGAUCUAGAAGUAAACUAUUGCAAGAACAAAAAACAAAACACUGCAUAUUCUCACUCAUAGGUGGGAAUUGAACAAUGAGAUCACAUGGACACAGGAAGGGGCACAUCACACUCUGGGGACUGUUGUGGGGUGGGGGGAUGGGGGAGGGAUAGCAUUGGGAGAUAUACCUAAUGCUAGAUGACGAGUUAGUGGGUGCAGCGCACCAGCAUGGCACAUGUAUACAUAUGUAACUAACUUGCACAUUGUGCACAUGUACCCUAAAACUUAAAGUAUAAUGAUAAUAAAUAAAAUAAAAUAAAAUAAAGUAAAAAAAUAAAAAAUAAUAAAAAAAAUAAAAGCUUCCUGGUGGGAGAGCAACAACAACAACAAAAAAAGUGUAAUCUAUGUGGAUAACACGGAUGAUCACAUUGCAAGGCACUGCAAUUCUUAUUAUUAUAAUGGGAAAGAUAAUCUCUAAUUGGAAAUGGGUGUGAAAUUUUACCUUGGUAGUCAUUUACUCAGAGAGACUCUGUCUAACCCUACUGUCUAAAUGAUCUUCAAUUUUGUUACAUCUUCUUCAGUCCAACCCACGUGUGUGUGUGUGUGUGUUUUAAGAGACAGAUUUUGCAAUGUACUCCAGGGAGAUAUCAUUCUCAUACCAGUCAGAAUGUCUGUUAUUAAAAUCUCAAAAAAUAACAGAUGCUGGCAAGGUUGUGGAGAAAAGGGAACACUCACACACUGUUGGGCUGAGUGUAAAUUGGUUAAACCUUUACUUAAAAAAUAUACUUUUCAAAAUCUUCAGGAAUUGAUUUAUGAAUGAUUUCUGGAUUAAUAGUUCCCAUUUUUAUUUUAUUCUAGAACAAAUUUAUUUCCAUGAAAUUCAUCUUUAAAUGGCUCUCAUCAGUAGAGUUUUAGCAACUGUAUAACACAUAGAUUUUGAAAAUAUUAUUUUACUGAAAUACUAUCUUCUAAGUAAAGAGUUGUAAAGGCCAGAGAUUCUUUUUCCUGAGAACAGUCUCAUUAAUUCUAAUAGCACUGACUUAAAUAAUCUGGUUACCAAGGGAUUUGAUCAUUUAUGCCAAAAUUUCUCUCAAUUUAUUUCCACAUUUACAAGCAACUAAAAUGAAUGUUUUUUCAUGCCUGUCUUGUGAGUAAAUCACUUUGUUCUAAAUACAUUUUAACCUGAGUUUGUCGUUCAAUGUAGGAAAAAAUUCCUUUUGGAAAAAAGAACUUCAGAAANNNNNNNNNNNNNUUAUGAAUCUUCAAUUUAUUUCAUCGGUGUUUUAUGUGCUUCAUUAUAGAGAUCUUUCACUUCUUUGCUUAAGUGAACUCAUAGGUAUUUAUUUGUGGCUACUGUAAAUGAGACUACACUUUUAAUUUCUUUUUUAGAUUGUUCAGUGUGGACAUAUAGAAAUGUUACUGAAUUUUGAAUGGUGAUUUUGUAUCCUGUAACUUUCCUAAUAUGUUUAUCAGUUUUGAUAGUUUUUUUGGUAGAAUCUUUAGGUUUUUGCAAAUAUAAGAUCAUAUCAUCUGCAAACAAGGAUAAUUUGACUUCUUCCUUUCCCAUUUGGAUUCCCUUUUUUUCUUUCUCAACUGAUUGCUCUAGCCCAGGCUUCCAGUACUAUGCUGAAUAACAAUGGUGAAAGUGGGCAUCAUUGUCAUGUUCGAGAUCUUAGAGAAAAGACUUUCAGUCUUGUCCUAUUCAGUAAGAUACUAACUGUGGGUCUAUUAUAUAUGGCUUUUA